CCUACGGGUGGCAGCAGUAGGGAAUUUUGCGCAAUGGGCGAAAGCCUGACGCAGCAACGCCGCGUGAUCGAGACGCCCUUCGGGGUGUAUAGCUCUGUUAGUGGGGACGAAACUUGCCGGUACCCCCUGAGGAAGCACCGGCUAACUCCGUGCCAGCAGCCGCGGUAAUACGGGGGUUGCAAGCGUUGUCCGGAAUCAUUGGGCGUAAAGAGUUUGUCGGCAGCAUGUUAAGUCAGGUGUUAAAGGCAGAGGCUGAACUUCAGUACGGCAGUGGAUACUUGCUGGCUAGAAUGCGGAAGAGGUAAAGGGAAUGCGUGGUGUAGCGGUGAAAUGCUUAGAGAUCAGGAGGAACAUCAAUGGCGUAAGCGCUUUACUGGGCCGUAAUUGACGCUGAGGAACGAAAGCCAGGGUAGCAAAUGGGAUGAGAUACCCUGGUAGUC
rnacentral:rRNA from 1 species